rfam:Gossypium hirsutum cultivar TM-1 unplaced genomic scaffold scaffold171.1, whole genome shotgun sequence
UGUUAAAAAUUUCUUUUAUUAGUACGGUUAAAAACUAGCAUGACUGAUGAAAUAACUAGAUAGUAAUAUGUAGCAUGCCACAUUUACAUCAUGUUAACGUACAGAGACUAGUUUUUAAUAGUAGAAAUGGAUAAAAAUUUUAACA